rnacentral:misc_RNA from 1 species
GAUGAAGAACGUAGCGAAAUGCGAUAAGUAGUGUGAAUUGCAGAAUUCAGUGAAUCAUCGAAUCUUUGAACGCACAUUGCGCCCCUUGGUAUCCCGAUGGGCAUGCCUGUUCGAGCGUCAUUUCACCACUCAAGCCUGGCUUGGUGUUGGGCGACGUCCCCUUUGGGGACGCGCCUCGAAACGCUCGGCGGCGUGGCACCGGCUUUAAGCGUAGCAGAAUCUUUCGCUUUGGAAGUCGGGGCCCCGUCUGCCGGAAGACCUACUCGCAAGGUUGACCUCGGAUCAGGCAGGGAUACCCGCUGAACUUAAGCAUAUCAAUAAGCGGAGGA